CUGCUCAGCUGUGUACUCUGUUACAUGUGACGCACACACAGUGCUGAAAGUAAUGUCAACAAUAGAGUCUCAGCUUCUCUGCCAGGUACAAUCUCAUGUGGUCAUCGAUUUAGACUUUUGCAGGUGGAAUAAUAGAGAAGCAGAUCGGUGAAGGGAGUACAUAAAGUCUGGACUAUAUGUUUU